rnacentral:rRNA from 1 species
UACAGAGGUCUCAAGCGUUGUUCGGAUUCAUUGGGCGUAAAGGGUGCGUAGGUGGCGCCGUAAGUCGGAUGUGAAAUUUCGGAGCUUAACUCCGAAACUGCAUUCGAUACUGCGGUGCUUGAGGACUGGAGAGGAGACUGGAAUUCAUGGUGUAUCAGUGAAAUGCGUAGAGAUCAUGAGGAAGACCAGUGGCGAAGGCGGGUCUCUGGACAGUUCCUGACACUGAGGCACGAAGGCCAGGGGAGCAAACGGG